rnacentral:rRNA from 1 species
CCCUUAGAUGUCCUGGGCUGCACGCGCGCUACACUGAUGUGUCCAGUAAGCACCUAACCUCUUCCGAAAGGAACGGGUAACCUUUGCAAAGCACAUCGUGAUGGGGAUCGAUUAUUGCAAUUAUUAGUCUUGAACGAGGAAUUCCUAGUAAGCACAAGUCAUCAGCUUGUGUUGAUUACGUCCCUGCCCUUUGUACACACCGCCCGUCGCUCCUACCGAUUGAAUGUUCCGGUGAGCUCUUCGGACUGCGCGGUCUGCAGUUUCUGCGUUCCGUGCGGAAAGUUGCGCAAACCUUAACAUUUAGAGGAAGGAGAAGUCGUAACA